AUCACCCUGCUGUGCGCGUGGAUGCGCUGGUCGUUUACUUCCAACAUCUCUUACUAGGGGCCCGGACUCUACCUCGGGCAUGUGUGCCGCAGUGCACGGCGGAACAUAAACGUGGUAGGAGGGCACCCACCUCGCGUGGGCGGGGGAGAGAAACGGCCAGCCCUACGGCAUGGUGGGGUUUUU
rnacentral:other from 1 species